rnacentral:tRNA from 1 species
GGCCCCAUCGUUUAGCGGCCUAGGACGCUGCCCUCUCACGGCAGUAGCGCGGGUUCGAAUCCCGCUGGGGUCACCA